rnacentral:rRNA from 1 species
CCUACGGGAGGCAGCAGUGGGGAAUAUUGGGCAAUGGGCGCAAGCCUGACCCAGCAACGCCGCGUGAAGGAAGAAGGCUUUCGGGUUGUAAACUUCUUUUCUCAGGGACGAAGCAAGUGACGGUACCUGAGGAAUAAGCCACGGCUAACUACGUGCCAGCAGCCGCGGUAAUACGUAGGGGGCAAGAGUUAUCCGGAUUUACUGGGUGUAAAGGGCGUGUAGGCGGGAAAGCAAGUCAGAUGUGAAAACCAUGGGCUCAACCUGUUGCCUGCAUUUGAAACUGUUUUUCUUGAGUACUGGAGAGGCAGACGGAAUUCCUAGUGUAGCGGUGAAAUGCGUAGAUAUUAGGAGGAACACCAGUGGCGAAGGCGGUCUGCUGAACAGCAACUGACGCUGAGGCGCGAAAGCGUGGGGAGCAAACAGGAUUAGAUACCCUAGUAGUC